rnacentral:rRNA from 1 species
AUGCAAGUCGAGCGGCAGCGGAAAGUAGCUUGCUACUUUGCCGGCGAGCGGCGGACGGGUGAGUAAUGUCUGGGAAACUGCCUGAUGGAGGGGGAUAACUACUGGAAACGGUAGCUAAUACCGCAUAACGUCGCAAGACCAAAGAGGGGGACCUUCGGGCCUCUUGCCAUCAGAUGUGCCCAGAUGGGAUUAGCUAGUAGGUGGGGUAACGGCUCACCUAGGCGACGAUCCCUAGCUGGUCUGAGAGGACGACCAGCCACACUGGAACUGAGACACGGUCCAGACUCCUACGGGAGGCAGCAGUGGGGAAUAUUGCACAAUGGGCGCAAGCCUGAUGCAGCCAUGCCGCGUGU